UACGUAGGGGGCAAGCGUUGUCCGGAUUUAUUGGGCGUAAAGAGCGUGUAGGCGGCCGGGUAGGUCCGGUGUGAAAUCUCGAGGCUCAACCUCGAGAGGGCAUCGGAAACCAUUCGGCUAGAGUCCGGAAGAGGAGAGUGGAAUUCCCGGUGUAGCGGUGAAAUGCGCAGAUAUCGGGAAGAACACCCAUGGCGAAGGCAGCUCUCUGGGACGGUACUGACGCUGAGGCGCGAAAGCGUGGGGAGCAAACAGG
rnacentral:rRNA from 1 species